rnacentral:rRNA from 2 species
UGAGGAAUAUUGGUCAAUGGACGCAAGUCUGAACCAGCCAUGCCGCGUGCAGGAUGACGGCUCUAUGAGUUGUAAACUGCUUUUGUACAAGGGUAAACCCUGGGACGUGUCCCAGGCUGAAAGUACUGUACGAAUAAGGAUCGGCUAACUCCGUGCCAGCAGCCGCGGUAAUACGGAGGAUCCAAGCGUUAUCCGGAUUUAUUGGGUUUAAAGGGUGCGUAGGCGGAAUAGUAAGUUAGAGGUGAAAGCUCGGGGCUCAACUCCGGAACUGCCUCUGAUACUGCUAAUCUAGAGAGUAGAUGCGGUAGGCGGAAUGUAUGGUGUAGCGGUGAAAUGCUUAGAGAUCAUACAGAACACCGAUUGCGAAGGCAGCUUACCAAACUAUAUCUGACGUUGAGGCACGAAAGCGUGGGGAGCAAACAGG